rnacentral:sRNA from 1 species
CCACCCAAUGCUCCGCCUACGCCUGCCGUCACGUUAUCGCCUGCAGAGGCGAAACCGGUGCUCAGGGUAAGAGACAACAACAGUAUCGAGGAAUACUUCAUGUAGGGAAUCUCAUAGGGAUGACGCCGCGAUAUUCGUGUCAAGUGAAGAAUGUAGCAAUGCAAAUCCGACGAGUAACACGAUUGCAAAACAAACAGCUAAGUUAUUGUUUUGGCUAAGGAACUUAAACCUGAAAAUACAGUCUGAGGUUACUUGCGACAGGCCCGUUUCCAGAGAAACGGGCCUUUUUUAUGGGCUUCAGAUAAUCCGCACCGACUCCGCCGAGCGCUCAAGGCGGAUCGCCACGAACUUCGAGGUCGGCGUGCUGCUGCCGUC